rnacentral:rRNA from 1 species
GACGAACGCUGGCGGCAUGCUUAACACAUGCAAGUCGAACGGAAAGGCCCUGCGUUUUUGUGGUGCUGGAGGGGCGAACGGGUGAGUGACACGUGAGUAUCCUGACCUUGACUUUGGGAUGACUUCAGGACACUGGGGCUAAUACCCGACAGGAUCUCCUGCUGCAUGGGGGGGGUUGGAAAGUUUCGGCUGUUGGGGAUGGACUCGCGGGUUAUGAGCUUGUUGGUGGGGUAGGGGCUUUCCCAGGCUUUGACGGAUAGCCGGCAUGAGAGGGUGACCGGGCCCAUUGGGCCUGAGAUACGGCCCAGACUGCUACGGGAGGCAGCAGUGGGAAACAUUGCACAAUGGGCCGAAGCCGGAUGGAACGACGCCGCGUGCGGGAUGACGGCCUUCGGGGUGUAAACCGCAUUCGGUUAAGACGAAGCGUGAGUGACGGUAAUGGGUGAAGAAGCACCGGCUAACUACGUG